UGGCAGAUACUCAUUGGACUAAGCAGGC
rnacentral:piRNA from 1 species